UACAGAGGGUGCGAGCGUUGUUCGGAAUUACUGGGCGUAAAGCGCGCGCAGGCGGCCUUUUAAGUCUGGCGGUGAAAUGCCGGGGCUCAACCCCGUUGCAGGCCGCGGAUACUGGGAGGCUGGAGACGAGUAGAGGCAAGCGGAAUUCCGGGUGUAGCGGUGGAAUGCGUAGAUAUCUGGAGGAACACCGGUGGCGAAGGCGGCAUCCUGGACCGGCAUUGACGCUGAGGCGCGAAAGCCAGGGGAGCAAACGGG
rnacentral:rRNA from 1 species